UUGGAGGAUUGACUGUUCAAUGGCAUAUAUGUGAGCCCACACCCUACAGAAUUCAGUCGGAGCAAAACUAAUCGAGCUAGAGGUCGGCUAUAUCUUGAAAAAUAACCAAUUUGUCGAGUUUUGUUUUUCCGUAGCUUUAUUUUAAAGACAAAAAAAUGAAGCUUGCUUUGUUCCUAUCCGCUUUGCUGGUGUUUGCCUUUGCAGAGGAAGGGGUCAAACGUUUUGAUGCUGUUGAUCGCAUUAUGGGUAGGCUGAUAGCUAAACGCUGGUCUUGUGGGUGCGGCUGCAGUAGCUCCAGUAUAACGGGAUGUCGUUGCUCCAGCGGCAAUGGCCUGCUUGGAAAACCAAGUGGAAAUGUUUGCGGUUGUCGUUGUCAAUCGAUCAACGGAGUAUGCAAGUGCUAUUAUAUGUAAUACCGACUACAUAUGAUAGGGCUAUGACAAAAUUAAGCCAUGAAGAGAUAUGUGUUAAUGAAAUUUUAAAAAAGAGAUUGUCAACAAUUUUAUCAGGCUGGACAAGUGUUGUAAACGAUGUAGCACGAAUAAAGAAAUAAGAAUAGCAUGAUUCAAAAAACCCGUUCCAGUUA